UACGAAGGGGGCUAGCGUUGCUCGGAUUGACUGGGCGUAAAGCGCACGUAGGCGGAUUGCUAAGUCAGGGGUGAAAUCCUGGAGCUCAACUCCAGAACUGCCUUUGAUACUGGCAACCUUGAGUCCGGGAGAGGUGAGUGGAACUGCGAGUGUAGAGGUGAAAUUCGUAGAUAUUCGCAAGAACACCAGUGGCGAAGGCGGCUCACUGGCCCGGUACUGACGCUGAGGUGCGAAAGCGUGGGGAGCAAACAGG
rnacentral:rRNA from 1 species